rnacentral:rRNA from 1 species
GACGAACGCUGGCGGCGUGCUUAACACAUGCAAGUCGAACGAAGUGGCGAACGGGUGAGUAACGCGUAAUCAACCUGCCCUUCAGAGGGGGACAACAGUUGGAAACGAAUGCUAAUACCGCAUACUGAAGGAGGGGAUUGCGUCUGAUUAGCUAGUUGGAGGGGUAACUGCCCACCAAGGGGCUGAUCAGUAGCCGCUCUUGGAGGAGGAACGGCCACAUUGGGCCGGAGACACGGCCCAUACUCCUACGGGAGGCAUCAGUGGGGGAUCUUCCGCAAUGGACGAAAGUCUGACGGAGCAACGCCGCGUGAGUGAUGACGGCCUUCGGGUUGUAAAGCUCUGUUGAUCGGGACGCGGUACCGGAAUAGAAAGCCACGGCUAACUACGUGCCAGCAGCCGCGGUAAUAC